AACGAACGCUGGCGGCAGGCCUAACACAUGCAAGUCGAGCGAGGACUUCGGUCCUAGCGGCGGACGGGUGAGUAACGCGUGGGAACGUGCCCUUUGCUUCGGAAUAGCCCUGGGAAACUGGGAGUAAUACCGAAUGUGCCCUUCGGGGGAAAGAUUUAUCGGCAAAGGAUCGGCCCGCGUUGGAUUAGGUAGUUGGUGGGGUAACGGCCUACCAAGCCGACGAUCCAUAGCUGGUUUGAGAGGAUGAUCAGCCACACUGGGACUGAGACACGGCCCAGACUCCUACGGGAGGCAGCAGUGGGGAAUCUUAGACAAUGGGCGCAAGCCUGAUCUAGCCAUGCCGCGUGAGCGAUGAAGGCCUUAGGGUUGUAAAGCUCUUUCAGCGAGGAAGAUAAUGACUGUACUCGCAGAAGAAGCCCCGGCUAACUCCGUGCCAGCCGCCGCAGUAACAC
rnacentral:rRNA from 1 species